rnacentral:rRNA from 1 species
AGCGGUAACAGAUCGCUGUGAUCCUUUCGGGGUGAACUUGAUGCUGACGAGCGGCGGACGGGUGAGUAACGCGUAGGAAUCUGCCCAGUAGAGGGGGAUAGCCCGAGGAAACUCGGAUUAAUACCGCAUACGCCCUACGGGGGAAAGCAGGGGAUCUUCGGACCUUGCGCUAUUGGAUGAGCCUGCGUUGGAUUAGCUAGUUGGUAGGGUAAAGGCCUACCAAGGCGACGAUCCAUAGCUGGUCUGAGAGGAUGAUCAGUCACACUGGAACUGAGACACGGUCCAGACUCCUACGGGAGGCAGCAGUCGGGAAUAUUGGACAAUGGGGGCAACCCUGAUCCAGCCAUGCCGCGUGUGUGAAGAAGGCCUUCGGGUUGUAAAGCACUUUCAGUAGGGAGGAAGGGUUAAGUGUUAAUAGCACUUAGCAUUGACGUUACCUACAGAAGCAGCACCGGCUAACUCCGUGCCAGCAGCCGCGGCAAUACGGAGGGUGCAAGCGUUAAUCGGAAUUACUGGGCGUAAAGCGCGCGUAGGCGGUUUGGUCAGUUGGAUGUGAAAGCCCAGGGCUUAACCUUGGAACUGCAUUCAAUACUGCCAGGCUAGAGUACGGUAGAGGGGGGUAGAAUUCCACGUGUAGCGGUGAAAUGCGUAGAGAUGUGGAGGAAUACCAGUGGCGAAGGCGGCCCCCUGGAUCGAUACUGACGCUGAGGUGCGAAAGCGUGGGGAGCAAACAGGAUUAGAUACCCUGGUAGUCCACGCUGUAAACGAUGUCAACUAGCCGUUGGAAGGGUAAUCCUUUUA